GAUGAACGCUGGCGGCGUGCCUAAUACAUGCAAGUCGAGCGAAUGGAUUAAGAGCUUGCUCUUAUGAAGUUAGCGGCGGACGGGUGAGUAACACGUGGGUAACCUGCCCAUAAGACUGGGAUAACUCCGGGAAACCGGGGCUAAUACCGGAUAACAUUUUGAACCGCAUGGUUCGAAAUUGAAAGGCGGCUUCGGCUGUCACUUAUGAAUGGACCCGCGUCGCAUUAGCUAGUUGGUGAGGUAACGGCUCACCAAGGCAACGAUGCGUAGCCGACCUGAGAGGGUGAUCGGCCACACUGGGACUGAGACACGGCCCAGGCUCCUACGGGAGGCAGCAGUAGGGAAUCUUCCGCAAUGGACGAAAGUCUGACGGAGCAACGCCGCGCGAGUGAUGAAGGCUUUCGGAUCGUAAAACUCUGUUGUUAGGGAAGAACAAGUGCUAGUUGAACAAGCCGGCACCUUGACGGUACCUAACCAGAAAGCCACGGCUAACUACGUGCCAGCCGCCGCAGUAA
rnacentral:rRNA from 1 species